UAGCUGUUUCCAGUCUGUGGUUCCCUGUCAACAGCGGCAGCAGCCCUCCAGCCCCUUCUCCCCUCAUCUGCAGCCCAGCAUCAGAUCCUGAUUCGGACUCUGGCUUGUAGAGGCUCUAGCUGUUUAAUCUGUUGUUCCCUGCUAACAGCGGCAGUAGCCCUCCAGCCCACUGAGAGUUCUUGCUGAAGCCCCUCAGCUGCAGCCCAGCAUCAGAUCCUGAUUUUGACUCUGGCUUGUAGAGGCUCUAGCUGUUUCCAGUCUGUGGUUCCCUGUCAACAGCGGCAGCAGCCCUCCAGCCCCUUCUCCCCUCAUCUGCAGCC